rnacentral:rRNA from 1 species
UACAGAGGGUGCAAGCGUUAUUCGGAAUUACUGGGCGUAAAGCGUGCGCAGUCGGUUAUUUAAGUCGGGCGUGAAAGCCCCGGGCUCAACCUGGGAAUUGCGUUCGAUACUGGAUAGCUAGAGUUCGGCAGAGGGAAGCGGAAUUUCGGGUGUAGCGGUGAAAUGCGUAGAUAUCCGAAGGAACAUCAGUGGCGAAAGCGGCUUCCUGGACCAGAACUGACGAUCAGGCACGAAAGCGUGGGGAGCAAACAGG